GAAAUGCGAUAAGUAAUGUGAAUUGCAGAAUUCCGUGAAUCAUCGAAUCUUUGAACGCACAUUGCGCCCUCUAGCAUUCCGGGGGGCAUGCCUGUCCGAGCGUCAUUACGCACCCUCAAGCCCGGCUUGUGUGAUGGGCCCCGGCGUCUCGUUCGCGAGACGGGCCCGAAAGGCAGCGGCGGCGUCGACCCGAUGAGCCCGAGCGUAUGGGGACUUCUGUCACACGUUCGCGGUGCGGACCGGCGCCUGCUUUGACUUUUCUGAUUAUCCAGGUUGACCUCGGAUCAGGUAGGGAUACCCGCUGAACUUAAGC
rnacentral:misc_RNA from 1 species